CGGAACACGUACGCAACAUACCCUUGUCUGGGGCAUAGCCCGAAGAAAUUCGGAUUAACACCCCAUAAGAUCAUAGAAUGGCAUCAUUUAGUGAUUAAAAAUUUAUUGGACAGGGAUUGGCGUGCGUCCUAUUAGCUAGUUGGUAUGGGUAACGGCCUACCAAGGCGACGAUAGGUAGCUGGUGUGAGAGCACGACCAGCCACACGGGCACUGAGACACGGGCCCG
rnacentral:rRNA from 1 species